rnacentral:rRNA from 1 species
UACGGAGGGAGCUAGCGUUGUUCGGAAUUACUGGGCGUAAAGUGUGCGCAGGCGGCCGAGCAAGUCGAGUGUGAAAGCCCCGAGCUUAACUUGGGAAUUGCGCUCGAAACUACUUGGCUGGAGUGUGGCAGAGGAAGGUGGAAUUCCAGGUGUAGCGGUGAAAUGCGUAGAGAUCGGAGGAACACCGAUGGCGAAGGCGGCAUCCUGGACCAAUACUGACACUGAGGAGCGAAAGCCAGGGAGCAAACGGG